rnacentral:rRNA from 1 species
GAUGAACGCUGGCGGCGCGCCUAACACAUGCAAGUCGAACGAUUAAAGCACCUUCGGGUGUGUAUAAAGUGGCGAACGGCUGAGUAACACGUGGGCAACCUGCCCCUUUCAUUGGGAUAGCCACGGGAAACCGUGGAUAAUACCGAAUACUUCGAGACUUCCGCAUGGAAGACUCGAGAAAGCUCCGGCGGAGAGGGAUGGGCCCGCGGCCUGUUAGCUUGUUGGUGUGGUAACGGCCUACCAAGGCAAUGAAGGGUAGCUGGGUUGAGAGACCGACCAGCCAGAUUGGGACUGGGACACGGCCCAGACGCCUACGGGAGGCAGCAGUGGGGAAUCUUGCACAAUGGGCGAAAGCCUGAUGCAGCGACGCCGCGUGCGGGAUGAAGGCCUUCGGGUUGUAAACCGCUUUCAGCAGGGACGAGGCGAAAGUGACGGUACCUGCAGAAGAAGCCCCGGCUAACUACGUG